CAUUUAUAUUUUUUUGGUUGUAGUUGACACAAAACCUUUAUUUUAUUUAUUUAUUUUUAUGUGGUUCUGAGAAUUAAACCCAGGGCUUCUCAUGUGCUAGCCAGGUGCUCUACAAUUGAACCACUACCCCAGCCCUUAAUUUGUUUUAUUUUGUUAUACAUGACAGUAGAAUGCAUUUAUGCACUUUGAUAUAUCAUUCAUAGAUGGGAUAUUAUUAUAUUUUUCUGAGUGCACAUGUUGCAGAAUAAUAUUGGUCAUGUAGUCACAUAUAUACAUAGAGUAAUAAUAUCUGAUUCAUUCUACUAUAUUUCCUAUUCCCAUGUCCCCUCCACUCUCCUCCCACCACUUCCCACUACCUAAUUUAAGGUAACAAUACUCUUCCCUCCUGCCCCCUGCUUUGUUGUGAAUUAGCAUUCACAUAUUACAGAAAACAUUCAGCCUUUGGCUUUGUGGGAUUGAUUUUAUUUCGCUUAGCAUGAUAUUCUACAACUCCUACCAUUUAUUGGCAAAGCCAUAAUUUCACUUUUCCUUGAAGCUGAGUAGUAAUCCACUGAAUAUACAUACCACAUUUUCUUUCUCAAUUCUACUAUUGAGGGACAUCUAGAUUGGUUCCAUAGUCCAGCUAUUGUGACUUGACCUGCUAUAAAUAUUGAUAUACCUGUGUCACUAUUGUAUGCUGAUUUUAAAUAUUUUGGAGUGGGUCAAACGGUGGUUUCAUUUCCAGUUUUCUGAGGAAUCUCCAUACUGCUUUUUAUAGUGGUUUCACCAAUUUGCAAUUUCACCAGUAAUGUGUGAGUGUACUUUGCUCACCCCAUCCUCACCAACAUUUAUUGUUGCCUGUAUUCUUGAUGAUUGCCAUUCUGACAGUAAUGAUUUAGAAUAGUUUUAAUUUGUAUUUCUCUGAUUGCUAGAGAUAUUGAACACUUUUUCAUAUGUUUGUUGAUCAGUUGUGUUUCUUCUUCUGUGAAGUGUCUGUUAAUCUUUACAACAGCAGCUCCAAUAAAGCAUUAAUCUCUAAGAUAUAUAAAGAACUCAAAACCACCAAAAAUAAACAAACAAAUAAAUAAUCCAAUCAAUAAGUGGGCUGAGGAACUGAUCAGAAUAAAUCUUUAUUGAUGCCUAAGCCAAUCACUAUGGCCAGGAAGGUGCACUGCUUUCUUCUUGCUAAGGCUAGAUUACAAAUGGCACUCCUGGGAUACAAUAGUACCCUAUCUUCCAGUUGGAUCAGUUGAAGACAAUGGAAAGGGAAUACCCAAAAGGAAAUUGUCUAUGGGCAUGGUGGAACUCACCUCUAGUCCCAGAGGCUAAUUAGGAAAUCUGAAUUCAAAAUUUGAGGUCCUAAAAAGGGGAAGGAUGAAAUGAAUCAACUGUGGUUCAUGGUGUUUUUUCGCUUUGUUUUGUUUUGUAUUGUGUGUUUGUUUUUGGUAUUGA
rnacentral:lncRNA from 1 species